rnacentral:tRNA from 1 species
UCCCUGGUGGGUCCAGGGGUAGGACUCUGUGCUCUCAAGGCAGGGGACUUGGGUUCAAUCCCUGGUCAGGGAA